GACGGAGGGCGCGAGCGUUGUUCGGAAUCACUGGGCGUAAAGCGCGCGCAGGCGGGUAGGCAAGUCGGAAGUGAAAGCCCGGGGCUCAACCCCGGGAGGCCUUUCGAUACUGCCUGCCUAGGGACCGGUAGAGGCUGGUGGAAUUCCCGGUGUAGCGGUGGAAUGCGUAGAUAUCGGGAAGAACACCCGUGGCGAAGGCGGCCAGCUGGGCCGGAUCCGACGCUCAGGCGCGAAAGCGUGGGGAGCAAACAGG
rnacentral:rRNA from 1 species